CAAAGGAUAGUUUAAUAAAAAUGAUAAUUUUGGGGAUUAUAGAUAGGGUGGUUACUUUUCCUUUGA
rnacentral:tRNA from 1 species